UGGAGCGUGUGGUUUAAUUCGAUGCUACACGAAGAACCUUACCAGGGUUUGACAUGUAAGUGGUAGGGAAGCGAAAGCAGACCGACCCUUCGGGGAGCUUGCACAGGUGCUGCAUGGCUGUCGUCAGCUCGUGUCGUGAGGUGUUCGGUUAAGUCCGCUAACGAGCGCAACCCUCGCUGUAUGUUACAAGUGUCAUACGGUACUGCCGGUCUCAAACCGGAGGAAGGUGGGGAUGACGUCAAGUCAGCAUGGCCUUUAUAUCUUGGGCA
rnacentral:rRNA from 1 species